GUUUGCAGGGAUGGCUGACCAGGGCUUUUGUACCUGUCUGGGUGACUGCCAUGGGGGUGAGGGCCAGCCCUGGUGUCCGGGUGAGU
rnacentral:snoRNA from 1 species